rnacentral:lncRNA from 1 species
CGUGGAGAAAUUUGAUGGGAAAAUCAAUUUUAGCUUGUAGCAAGUACAAGUUAGAGAUUUAUUGAUUCAAGUUGGAUUCCACAAGGCUUUGAAAGGAAAACCAACCAAUAAUUCUAGCAAGGAAGUUGAAUCCAGUACGAUCGAUUCGGAUUGAGAAGAAUUGGAUUUGAAAGCUGCAAGCAUGAUACGUCUUUGUCUUGCUAAAAAUAUUCUUGCAAAUAUUCAUGGAAUAUCUGCUGCAAAGGAACUAUGGAAGAAACUAGAAGAACUAUAUCAAACGAAAAGCCUCUCAAAUCGAUUGUACCUAAAUGAGCAAUUUCAUUCAUUGGGCAUGGAGACAGGUACGAAAAUCUCAGACCAUCUUAACGUUCUCAACGGGAUUGUUUUAGAACUGGAAUCUAUUGGAGUCAAGAUAGAUGAUGAGGAUAUGGCACUAUGGCUCUUCUGGUCUCUUCUGUUUACUUAUGAACAUAUCAAGCCAAUCUUGAUGUAUGGGAAGGAAACUGUGAGUUUUGCAGAAGUGACAAGCAAUUUGAUCUCAGAAGAAAGAAGAUCAAGGGGACAGAAUGCUCCAUAUGAAAAUGCGUGCUUAUGACUGAAAAGGGAAAGAAGGGCAACUUCAUGAGGAAGAAAGUAACUUGUUGAAACUGCGGCUAGACUGGCCACGUAAAGAAAAAUUAUCCAAAAAGUGGAGCAGGGUUGGCUAACUAUUUGGGAUCGGACAAUGUGUCUCUCCUGGAGGAUGAGGACACGGAUGUAGUGUUGUAAAGUAAGAUGGAAACAUCCUCAUGGCAUGUUGCCAGUUGCCAUGAUAAAGGAUGAGUUCUUACUGGCGCGGGUUAGCAUAUCUGCACAUAGCAUUAACUGACAUUUGAUACAAGGUGUGUAGGUAUAUAGUGGUGUUGUAAUGGCGAUGGCUGAGGAGCUCUUUGAAAAAGUUAGUGGGAGAGUUGUGCCAUAACUAUCAGCAGGGUUGUUUCAACAUAUAGUCGAUGAAAUGCUCGGAGUUCAUAAAUAAUUCUGAAUGGUUAUACUUAUAUGGUGGAGUAUGGGAUCGUUAAAGUGUGUCAAAAGUUUACCUGUUUUUCCUAAGUAUUGUGAUUAAAAGUUGUAGAAGAGAUGACAAGAUUUUGACUCGUUUUCGGCAAGGGGAGAUUGUUGGGUAAUAGCCUCAAAAGCUGGAGGACUUCUAUUGUAAAUAAUGAAAUGUAGUUAUUGUAUGGAAAACUUUUAAUUAAAAUUGAGAGUAGAAUUCUUGCAGAAUUUGGUCUCCAAUUUACAGUCGAUUUUGGAGUCUUAC